UUUCCGUAGGUGAACCUGCGGAAGGAUCAUAAAAGAGAAUAUGCCCUUCGGGGUAGAUCUCCCACCCUUUGUUUAUAUUACCUUUGUUGCUUUGGCAGGCCCGUCUUCGGACCACCGGCUUCGGCUGGUCAGUGCUUGCCAGAGGACCCAAAACUCUUAUUAUUAAUGUCGUCUGAGUACUAUAUAAUAGUUAAAACUUUCAACAACGGAUCUCUUGGUUCUG
rnacentral:misc_RNA from 1 species